rnacentral:rRNA from 1 species
UCAGCCGGUCUCGCGAAUGCCUCUAGAUUUAAGUUUGAUCAUGGCUCAGAUCGAACGCUUGACGGCAGGCCUAACACAUGCAAGUCGAGCGGUAACACAGGGAGCUUGCUCCUGGGUGACGAGCGGCGGACGGGUGAGUAAUGUCUGGGAAACUGCCUGAUGGAGGGGGAUAACUACUGGAAACGGUAGCUAAUACCGCAUAACGUCUUCGGACCAAAGUGGGGGACCUUCGGGCCUCAUGCCAUCAGAUGUGCCCAGAUGGGAUUAGCUAGUAGGUGGGGUAACGGCUCACCUAGGCGACGAUCCCUAGCUGGUCUGAGAGGAUGACCAGCCACACUGGAACUGAGACUCGGUCCAGACUCCUACGGGAGGCAGCAGCGGGGAAUAUUGCACAAUGGGCGCAAGCCUGAUGCAGCCAUGCCGCGUGUAUGAAGAAGGCCUUCGGGUUGUAAAGUACUUUCAGCGAGGAGGAAGGCAUUAAGGUUAAUAACCUUGGUGAUUGACGUUACUCGCAGAAGAAGCACCGGCUAACUCCGUGCCAGCAGCCGCGGUAAUACGGAGGGUGCAAGCGUUAAUCGGAAUUACUGGGCGUAAAGCGCACGCAGGCGGUCUGUCAAGUCGGAUGU